UGGCAUGUCUUGGCCCAUUGGCCCACAUAUCUCUAUCUCUUCCUCUUGCUCAAAGUAACCAUUUUCCAUCUACCUUCAACGCCAACAGCUGAAUUUCAUUCUUCUCCUAAAUCUCUCUCUGACGAUCAUGGCGGACAAGGGUCGAUCAUUGCCCAAGUUUGGUGAAUGGGAUGUCAAUGACCCAGCAUCGGCUGAGGGAUUCACGGUCAUCUUCAACAAGGUCAGGAAUGAGAAAAAGACGGGCGGCAAGCCUGACUCUCCAGCAAGAAAUGACCCCCCAUUAAAGAAUGAGGGUGUUCUUGAAAAGCCUCAGUCUAAAAAAUGGUUGUGCUGCAUUUAAACUGGUCAUGCAGAAUAAUGAGGCAGUGGUUACCUUCUAAGAGUUUUCAGUGGAAGGUCCUAUGUAUCUAUGCCCAAUCCCAACAUGUAAUCCAGAAGACUGGAGCUGUAUUCAGAAGCUAUGAUGGGACCUGCUGGAAUCUGUUUGUUGUAACUUAUUCUUUUGUGAUGUAAUGGGCCUGCUAAAGUAUACGGACAAAGGACAACGUUUUUUUAAAUAUACUGGUGGGGGCUUUGCUGAUUUAUAUUUUA